AUUGAACGCUGGCGGCAGGCCUAACACAUGCAAGUCGAGCGGAUGAAGAGAGCUUGCUCUCUGAUUCAGCGGCGGACGGGUGAGUAAUGCCUAGGAAUCUGCCUGGUAGUGGGGGACAACGUUUCGAAAGGAACGCUAAUACCGCAUACGUCCUACGGGAGAAAGUGGGGGAUCUUCGGACCUCACGCUAUCAGAUGAGCCUAGGUACGAUUAGCUAGUUGGUGAGGUAAAGGCUCACCAAGGCGACGAUCGUUAACUGGUCUGAGAGGAUGAUCAGUCACACUGGAACUGAGACACGGUCCAGACUCCUACGGGAGGCAGCAGUGGGGAAUAUUGGACAAUGGGCGAAAGCCUGAUCCAGCCAUGCCGCGUGUGUGAAGAAGGUCUUCGGAUUGUGAAGCACUUUAAGUUGGGAGGAAGGGCAGUAAGUUAAUACCUUGCUGUUUUGACGUUACCGACAGAAUAAGCACCGGCUAACUUCGUGCCAGCCGCCGCCGUAACAC
rnacentral:rRNA from 1 species